AUGAAGCCGCACAAACAGCAGCGCACCUGCACCAAGCAUCCCAUUCCGUCCCACAACACGUCCGCCACCGCACGCCACAGUUCAGGUCGUCUUUUCCAGAACACUGUGCAGCCCUCCGCGACGCGAAUGCGCUUUGUGCGCCCCGCCACACACGCGGCGCCGCACGGCCGCGGCUGGUACGAGGCGAUCCCAGAGCGUCUAAAGGUGACCAUCGACGACUACUUCAGCGAGGCCACGCACUGCUACGACGAGGAGGGGCACGAGUGCGCUCGCAUGACGGGCUUGAUUGCUCCGCACGCCGGCAUGAGCUAUUCCGGCCGCACCGCCGCCGAGGCCUUCGCGGUUUUUCGUGAUUACCUCUACGCAAAAGGGUCCAAAGGCAGCGAGCUGGAGCGCAUCUUUAUCCUUGGGCCGUCGCAUACAAAAGGCUUUGAAGGGUGCGAGCUCUCCGCCGCCAGCGCGUACGAGACGCCGUUUGGGCGGUUGAGGGUGGACACGGCCGUAGUGGAUCGUGUGAUGACUGAUUUGCGCAAGGCAGGGGUAGGGGCGGCCACGGCGUCUCGCCGCACGGACGAGGCCGAGCACUCGAUCGAGAUGGAGACUCCUUACCUCUCCCACAUUCUUCACUACCCACCAACGACGACCGGUGCGCCGGCGCAGCCGGCAGCGGGGCGCGUCGCAAUCGUGCCCAUCAUCGUUGGCUGGACCGACAGGCAGGACGAAAAGGCCAUUUGCGACGUGCUCAAGCCCUACAUGGACGAUGCUCGCAAUUUCUUCAUCUUCAGCUCUGAUUUCUGCCACUGGGGUGAGCGCUUCUCCUACACAUACCACUACAAGCGCUCCGAGUAUCCGAAUAUCGGCGACUCCAUCAUCGCCAUGGACCACGCCGCCAUGGAGCUGCUGGAGAAGCGCGACUUGGAGAGGUGGUAUGCCUACCUGCAGAUGACCAAGAACACAAUUUGCGGACGCGCGCCGAUUAGUAUUGGGAUGCAGCGCUGGGCAGACGAAGUGAACAAGGCGCGAGUGAAGUUUGUGCACUACUCGCAGUCGAACAAGUGCAAGGACGCAGACGACUCAUCAGUGAGCUACGCCGCUGCCAUCAUUAUGGAGUAGAUGGUGCACCUCCACCCCAUGUAGGCCUCGUGAUGCCGUUCUAUCUUCUUGAAGAACAGCAGGGGUGAGCACAAAAGGAGCCGCCGCACAGCCGCGUCGAGCUACAUGUAUACAUAUAUAUAUAUAUGUCCCGUUCGUCAGGGCAGUGCGCUUCUCCUUUUUGGUGUUUUGUGCUCAUUCCAGUCUUUUCUUUGGCCUCCGUCCGACAUCGCUGCUUUUUGCUUUUUCGUGUUCUUUCACACGCUUUAUGUGCGCUUGAGUGCGUGUGUGUGUGUGUGUCUGUUUGCCAUCGCCGCACGCCCUGUACACACACACACACACCUGCUCCACCGACUGUGGGCAUCCAUUUGCUAAGCCAUUUUGCUGUAUCAAGUCCCCCCCCUUUGUUUUUGCUCUGUCUUGUCCCAUCUCUACCUCCCGUGCCUCUGUGUAUCGAUGCUGUUUACCGCUGCAGGACUCGAUUCCAGUCUGGCUUUGCUACUACAGCACCCACAAUAUGCUGUGCCUACGGCUCUAACUGAGAAAGGUGGGUGAGAUAAGAAGAAACCUCUCUCCUUUAUCGGGGUCUCUAAGUCUCUGCAGCUGCCCCUCCUCUGCAUUCUCCCCUUCAAAUUAUGUUUGUGUGUGCUUGCUGUUGUCUUUCUCAGCUCUGAUAGCCAGUUGAGGAGGGGGAGGGGCGCCGCAUCGUGGCACCAGGACCCAGCCACCCACGCACAGUGUGUGUGGGGACGCCAAGCACCUACGGCGUCAGGUGGGGGUGGGCCAUCAGAGCGAUUUGCCGCUGCCGGCGUCGGCGGGGAGACACGCCUGUGCCACCCGUAUGACGCGGCAGAGCGUCCGUGCAGCUCGAACGCACCUCACACCCGGCUCUCGGUCUCCACUGGUGGUGGUGGUGGUGGUGGGAGGGGGUGGGGGGCCUCUGCGCCACUCCGGGGGAGCGGAGUUGGUGAGAAGAGUUUGGGGCACAGGCCGUGCUCGGGUGACUGAGUCGGCGCCUUGCGGCAACGCGUGCCUGCCGCUGCUUCGCACCGGGCUGAUGGGAGCCUCUGGCCGUCCGCGGUAGAGUGGAGCUUAGGUCAUGUUAAAAAGAAUGGACGCGGUG
rnacentral:misc_RNA from 1 species